AUCGCUUCUCGGCCUUUUGGCUAAGAUCAAGUGUAGUAUCUGUUCUUAUCAGUUUAAAAAAUAAAAAGAGAGAGAGAGAAAAAGCAAGUCAGGAAGGGACAGAGAGAAGGAGACAGAGGAUCUGAAGUAGGCUCUGUGUGGAGAGCAGAAAGCUCGAUGUAGGGCUCAAACUCAA
rnacentral:snRNA from 1 species